AGCAAAAGAGCAAGAAACAAGUCAGGCUUGGGAUUGAAAGUAUUUUUUUAGUGAUGUUACGGUCUGUGUCGAGGCUUCAAAGUGUGUGUCGAGUAAUCAGCAAAAAUACUGGCGAAGUGUGGUUCGGAGUAUGGUUUGAUGACGUAAGCGAUGACGUUCGAACCUUCCUGAAGCACCGUACCACGUGACUGAGCCAGGAAGUGCUUUGCUGUUUGGCGUGUGAACCGCGUGUCAUUUGAAAUAUAAGGCACAGCAAAACGCAAUGGAGUCGACCCGCACAUCUUGUGCUUAGUUUGGUUGGUGUUUGGUUAGUUAUUUGCGAGUGUUUAAAAGAUGGAACCAGCGACAAAAAAGAACGUUUUCCCCUGUUUGGGAGUACUUUGACUUGAUCACUCCCAAUAAGGUGAAGUGGGUACAGUGGGAAUACAUCAGCCAUGCUCAGGCACCACAGAGCCCUGCAUCAGCUGGUUCAAGCUCUGGUGAGAAGUCUGAUAUAACGGAGGCAUUGAUUGCCGUGGUAGUGGAGGAUUUUCUGCCAUUCUCUAUUGGAGAUGGGAGUGGGUUCCAAAAUUUUGUGAAAUCACUGAACCCAUCUUAUGUACCCCCUACUCGCCAGGCCCUGAAAGCGAUGGUGGAAAAAAAAAUAUGAUGAUUCGAAGGAGAAGGCUAAAGCCGCUGUAAUGAAAGCAUCAUCAGUGAGCCUUACUUCAGACACCUCCAUCAACACUGAUGCAUUCCGUGCCGUCACUGGCCAGUUUGUCGAUGAAAAUAUCAUGUUAUCGUCUGUUGUGUUAGGUGUUACGCACUUUCCACAAUCACACACUGCCUUAAAUUUGGCCAGUGUAAAAAAAAGACCUUCUUGCACAGUGGGGCAUCAGUAACAAGGUCACCUGCCUAGUCACGCAUGGAGCUGCCGAUAUGGGUGCAUGCGCUAAAGAAAUGGGAGUUCGCCAUGUCAUCUGUCUGGCACAUUCAUUAAAUCUGAUUGUCAAAAAAGCACUUAAUUCUCACGAACUAUCCGAAAUAAGGGACAAAAGCAGGAAUUUUGUUGGAUAUUUCAAGGGCAGCACUACUGCAAAGGUAAAAAAA